UACGGGAGGCAGCAGUGGGGAUUCUUCCGCAAUGGGCGCAAGCCUGACGGAGCAACGCCGUGUGAGUGAAGAAGGGUUUCGACUCGUAAAGCUCUGUUGUAGGGGAAAAAAUGUGGAGGUUGUGAAUAACAGUUUCCAAUGACGGUACCUGACGAGGAAGCCACGGCUAACUACGUGCCAGCAGCCGCGGUAAUACGUAGGUGGCGAGCGUUGUCCGGAAUUAUUGGGCGUAAAGGGAGCGCAGGCGGGAGAUCAAGUCUAUCUUAAAAGUGCGGGGCUCAACCCCGUGAGGGGAUGGAAACUGGUCUUCUUGAGUGCAGGAGAGGAAAGCGGAAUUCCUAGUGUAGCGGUGAAAUGCGUAGAUAUUAGGAGGAACACCAGUGGCGAAGGCGGCUUUCUGGACUGUAACUGACGCUGAGGCUCGAAAGCGUGGGGAGCGAACAGGAUUAGAUACCCUGGUAGUCCACGCCGUAAACGAUGAAUGCUAGGUGUAGGAGGUAUCGACCCCUCCUGUGCCGGAGUUAACGCAAUAA
rnacentral:rRNA from 1 species